rnacentral:rRNA from 1 species
ACUCAAAUGAAUUGACGGGGGCCCGCACAAGCGGCGGAGCAUGUUGCUUAAUUCGAUGCAACGCGAAAAACCUUACCUGGGUUGAACUACGCAGGAAAAGCCACAGAGAUGUGGUGUCCGAAAGGGCCUGCGAUAGGUGGUGCAUGGCUGUUGUCAGCUCGUGUCGUGAGAUGUUGGGUUAAGUCCCGCAACGAGCGCAACCCUUGUCCCAUGUUGCCAGCGGAUCAUGCCGGGAACUCGUGGGAGACUGCCGGGGUAACUCGGAGGAAGGUGGGGAUGACUUCAAGUCAGCAUGCCCCUUAUGUCCAGGGCUGCAAACAUGCUACAAUGGCCGGUACAAAGGGUCGCGAGUCCGCGAGGAUGAGCCAAUCCCAGAAAGCCGGUCUCAGUUCGGAUCGGAGUCUGCAACUCGACUCCGUGAAGUCGGAGUCGCUAGUAAUCCCGAAUCAGCACUGUCGGGGUGAAUACGUUCCCGGGCCUUGUACACACCGCCCGU